CCUACGGGCGGCAGCAGUGGGGAAUAUUGGGCAAUGGAGGCAACUCUGACCCAGCAACGCCGCGUGAAUGAUGAAGGUCUUCGGAUUGUAAAGUUCUGUGAUGGGGGAUGAACACAAUGACGGUACCCCAAUAGCAAGCCACGGCUAACUACGUGCCAGCAGCCGCGGUAAUACGUAGGUGGCAAGCGUUAUCCGGAAUGACUGGGCGUAAAGGGUGCGUAGGUGGUUUAGUAAGUUGGCGGUGUAAUUCCGGGGCUCAACCUCGGCGCUACCGCCAAAACUAUUAGACUAGAGUGCAGGGGGGGUAAGUGGAAUUCCUAGUGUAGCGGUGGAAUGCGUAGAUAUUAGGAGGAACAUCAGGGGCGAAAGCGACUUACUGGACUGUAACUGACACUGAGGCACGAAAGCGUGGGGAGCAAACAGGAUUAGAUACCCCAGUAGUC
rnacentral:rRNA from 1 species